rnacentral:rRNA from 3 species
UUCGCAAUGCCCGAAAGGGUGACGAAGCGACGCCGCGUGUGGGAAGAAGGCCUUCGGGUUGUAAACCACUGUCGGGAGUUAAGAAAUACAAGGAUAUUAAUAGUGUCUUUGUUUGACUAAGGCUCCGGAGGAAGCCACGGCUAACUCUGUGCCAGCAGCCGCGGUAAUACAGAGGCGGCAAGCGUUGUUCGGAAUUAUUGGGCGUAAAGAGCACGUAGGCGGCUAUGUAAGUCGGUUGUGAAAGCCUUCCGCUCAACGGAAGAACAGCAUCCGAUACUACAUGGCUUGAGUGCGGGAGGGGAGAGUGGAACUUCUGGUGGAGCGGUGAAAUGCGUAGAUAUCAGAAGGAACGCCGGCGGCGAAAGCGGCUCUCUGGCCCAUAACUGACGCUGAGUGUGCGAAAGCUAGGGGAGCAAACGGGAUUAGAUACCCCGGUAGUCCUAGCCGUAAACGAUGGGCACUAAGUAGAGGGGUUUU